UUUCCCCUGCCGUGUUCGCCAAGGUCAACCAUUCCUUGAACCAAUGACUUGGCAUUGGCUGCGGACCAAAGCGUCACUUUUGCGAGCGUCCCUCAUUCGUGAGCCCGGACGCACCUGCGGUGACCGGAAUGCGGCCACUCUGGACCUCAGGUUCAGGAUGCCGGCCUAGCGGCACAGGCGGGGGAUCC
rnacentral:other from 1 species